rnacentral:tRNA from 1 species
AUUUAAAUAGCUUAUAUCUAGAGCGUGACAUUGAAGCUGUUAAGGAAACUGAUAUAGUUUUUGAAUA